rnacentral:rRNA from 1 species
ACAGAGUUGCAAAACUCCCUAAACCAUUGUGAACGUUACCUAUACCGUUGCUUCGGCGGGCGGCCCCGGGGUUUACCCCCCGGGCGCCCCUGGGCCCCACCGCGGGCGCCCGCCGGAGGUCACCAAACUCUUGAUAAUUUAUGGCCUCUCUGAGUCUUCUGUACUGAAUAAGUCAAAACUUUCAACAACGGAUCUCUUGGUUCUGGCAUCGAUGAAGAACGCAGCGAAAUGCGAUAAGUAAUGUGAAUUGCAGAAUUCAGUGAAUCAUCGAAUCUUUGAACGCACAUUGCGCCCGCCAGCAUUCUGGCGGGCAUGCCUGUUCGAGCGUCAUUUCAACCAUCAAGCCCCCGGGCUUGUGUUGGGGACCUGCGGCUGCCGCAGGCCCUGAAAAGCAGUGGCGGGCUCGCUGUCGCACCGAGCGUAGUAGCAUACAUCUCGCUCUGGUCGCGCCGCGGGUUCCGGCCGUUAAACCACCUUUUUAACCCAAGGUUGACCUCGGAUCAGGUAGGAAGACCCGCUGAACUUAAGCAUAUCAAUAAGCGGAGGAAAUCGAAUUCCCGCGGCCGC